rnacentral:tRNA from 1 species
UAGCCUAGCGGUUAAGGCUAUGGAUCGCCAAUCCGGAGACGGCGGGUUCAAUUCCCGU